GUCCAUAUUGAUUUCGGAACUUGAUGUGGAAGGUUGAACAGAAAUCCACGACAAUCGAGAAUUAGAGAAUUUCGUUAAUUUUUUUAAUUUAAGAGCAUGAGAGCAAAGUGGCGUAAGAAGCGUAUGCGUAGGCUAAAGCGCAAAAGGAGGAAGAUGCGUGCGAGGUCCAAGUAAACUGUUCUUUUUAAUCUCUCUGUAGGAACGACAUAGUAUCACACUGAGAUGUCAUGGUUUCUAGUUAAAUUUACCAGAAGUCUUACAUGCUCUACUACUGUGUAGCAAUCAUUCCAUCAAUGUACCGUUCAUACAGAGAGAUAAUUUUAUAAGUCUUUAUUUUAUUCAUCUUAAAUAAAAUGGAACCUCGAUAUAUACAAA
rnacentral:lncRNA from 1 species